rnacentral:lncRNA from 1 species
AUAAUGUCUGGAAGAAAGACUUCGUGUUUCUCCCAGUUAUGCACAAGAAACAUCAGCACUACACCUUGUUAGUCCUAAACAAAGAACUUGAAUGUUGGGAACAUUAUAACACGCAAUCCCCAACGCAUUCUACAUCAGUGGACCAUUUCUUUGAAGAUGCAUCCAAAUUGGUAGGUUGCUGUUAUCUAUGGUCUGUGUAAUAUGCAAGACGUAUAAGAGAUUUGAUUAGAUCUUAAAGUACAUUGCAGCAUGUUGAAAUUUCGAAGCACUUAGCAUUUUUGUACCACCUUGAUCCUUUAAUAUGUUGUUUAAAUUUUCCAUGAACCACGUC